rnacentral:rRNA from 1 species
CCGGUUCUUCUACCUGCUGAACUUAAGCAUAUCAUAAGCGGAGGAAAAGAAACCAUACAGGGACUGCUCUAGUAACGGCGAGUGAAGCGGCACAGCUCAAAUUUGAAAUCUGGCUCUUUAGAGUCCGAGUUGUAAUUGCAGAGGGCGCUUUGGCUUUGGCAGCGGUCCAAGUUCCUUGGAACAGGACGUCACAGAGGGUGAGAAUCCCGUACGUGGUCGCUAGCUAUUGCCGUGUAAAGCCCCUUCGACGAGUCGAGUUGUUUGGGAAUGCAGCUCUAAAUGGGAGGUAAAUUUCUUCUAAAGCUAAAUAUUGGCCAGAGACCGAUAGCGCACAAGUAGAGUGAUCGAAAGAUGAAAAGCACUUUGGAAAGAGAGUCAAACAGCACGUGAAAUUGUUGAAAGGGAAGCGCUUGCAGCCAGACUUGCUUGCAGUUGCUCAUCCGGGCUUUUGCCCGGUGCACUCUUCUGCAGGCAGGCCAGCAUCAGUUUGGGCGGUGGGAUAAAGGUCUCUGACACGUUCCUCUCUUCGGGGAGGCCAUAUAGGGGAGACGUCAUACCACCAGCCUGGACUGAGGUCCGCGCAUCUGCUAGGAUGCUGGCGUAAUGGCUGUAAGCGGCCCGUCUUGAAACACGGACCAAGGAGUCUAACAUCUAUGCGAGUGUUUGGGUGUCAAGCCCGAACGCGUAAUGAAAGUGAACGGAGGUGGGAACCCGCAAGGGCGCACCAUCGACCGAUCCUGAAGUUUACGGAAGGAUUUGAGUAAGAGCAUGGCUGUUGGGACCCGAAAGAUGGUGAACUAUGCUUGAAUAGGGUGAAGCCAGAGGAAACUCUGGUGGAGGCUCGCAGCGGUUCUGACGUGCAAAUCGAUCGUCAAAUUUGGGCAUAGGGGCGA